UUCGCCCAAUGUUUGUUGUUGUCCUCCCUCUGUACCUCUUCCACUCUUGGGUGCUUUUCUCUUAUAUACCUGGUCUACUUUUUAUAGCCUUCAAAAGCCUCCAUAGUCUUAACCGUGUUCUAUCUCCUGCUCUCUCAUGGAUUACUUUUUUUUUAGGAUUUAAAAUCUUACAGCUUGUCGUCCACAUCCCAGUGCCUCGCCCAAUUCCGCGUAUGUAAGCUCUCUGGUCUCAACGUGGAUUGAACCAGCAUUGCUCGAACCCUCUGUAAGCCGUGCCGCAUUAUUUCUUCAUUCGCCCAAGUUAUGAACCGCGCUGCCCUUGCACCACCAGGAUCGUGCCCACA
rnacentral:lncRNA from 1 species